CAUUCAUCUCAUACCCAGAUUUAUAAAAAAUUGAACUCUCCAGUCGCUUAACUUUGCCACACACUUUACUUGCUCGUCUUUCAAAUCAAAAUUUGUAUCUCUCUCUCUCUCUCCCUCUCUCUCGUCUUCGAAUUGAACCAUGUCGGACGACGAGCACCACUUCGAAUCCAGCGACGCCGGAGCUUCCAAGACUUAUCAUCAACAAGCCGGUAACAUCCGUAAAGGUGGUUACAUAGUCAUCAAGGGACGUCCCUGCAAGAAGACGGAUGGUGCUUUGGCUCAAUCUCGUCGUGGGUUCCUCGCGAGAAAGCUCUCUUCGCUGUGGAUGCCUCUUUGAGGAGAUUCAAGUCGCAUAAGAAAGGAGUGCACAUAUUGAAGAGGGUUGGAGAUGUGCUCAUUGUUGUCGUUAUUGCCGAUAUGGAAUGCUAUUUUCAUUAAGAGAUUAACUCUUACAGGGAGGUUCAUUAGGAGGAUCAACAACUGUUGCAGCAAAAAAAUGUAUGAUGUGACUUGGUCGUGAUACUAGUGAAAUUCAGGAAGGAUUACACGAAAUUCAGGAAGGAUUCUUAGAACUUCAUGAUGACCUUCAUAACAAGUUUAGAUUUCAGGAUGACUUUCAUAAAAAUUCUGGAUAUUGGUAAACACUAGGGUAACACAAAAAUGAUACCAUUACCCUUUACUAAUGGAGUUUUCUUUCUAUGUUUUACAUUUUUUUUAGUAAUGCUGAGUUUUUAUGUUGAACUUUUCUUCGUUUUCUGAAUUCAAAUAUAUUUUCAUAAAAUCAUUAUUUA